GUGCCAGCAGCCGCGGUAAUACGUAGGUGGCAAGCGUUAUCCGGAAUUAUUGGGCGUAAAGCGCGCGUAGGCGGUUUUUUAAGUCUGAUGUGAAAGCCCACGGCUCAACCGUGGAGGGUCAUUGGAAACUGGAAAACUUGAGUGCAGAAGAGGAAAGUGGAAUUCCAUGUGUAGCGGUGAAAUGCGCAGAGAUAUGGAGGAACGCCAGUGGCGAAGGCGACUUUCGUGGUCUGUAACUGACGCUGAUGUGCGAAAGCGUGGGGAUCAAACAGGAUUAGAUAC
rnacentral:rRNA from 1 species